UACGUAGGAUGCUAGCGUUGUCCGGAUUUACUGGGCGUAAAGCGCGCGCAGGCGGCAUGUCAAGUAAGGUGUGAAAUCUCCCUGCUCAACGGGGAGGGUGCACUUUAGACUGGCAAGCUAGAGGACGGUAGAGGGGGGUAGAAUUGCUGGUGUAGCGGUGAAAUGCGUAGAGAUCAGCAGGAAUACCCGUGGCGAAGGCGGCCCCCUGGGCCGAACCUGACGCUGAGGCGCGAAGGCUAGGGGAGCGAACAGG
rnacentral:rRNA from 1 species